GGCAAGCGUUGUCCGGAUUUAUUGGGUUUAAAGGGUGCGUAGGUGGUUUAAUAAGUCAGUGGUGAAAGCUGGUUGCUCAACAAUCAAGUUGCCAUUGAUACUGUUAGACUUGAGAGAAGUGGAGGCUGGUGGAAUGGAUGGUGUAGCGGUGAAAUGCAUAGAUAUCAUCCAGAACGUCAAUUGCGAAGGCAGCUGGCUGUACUUUUUCUGACACUGAGGCACGAAAGUGUGGGGAUCAAACAGGAUUAGAUACCCUGGUAGUCCACGCCGUAAACGAUGAUAACUAGCUGUCCGGGCACUUGGUGUCUGGGUGGCGCAGCUAACGCAUUAAGUUAUCCGCCUGGGGAGUACGGUCGCAAGAUUAAAACUCAAAGGAAUUGACGGGGACCCGCACAAGCGGUGGAUGAUGUGGUUUAAUUCGAUGCAACGCGAAAAACCUUACCUGCUCUUGACAUGUACGGAAGAUUUCAGAGAUGAGAUUGUGCCUUCGGGAACCGUAACACAGGUGCUGCAUGGCUGUCGUCAGCUCGUGUCGUGAGAUGUUGGGUUAAGUCCCGCAACGAGCGCAACCCUUGUCAUUAGUUGCUACGAAAGGGCACUCUAAUGAGACUGCCGGUGACAAACCGGAGGAAGGUGGGGAUGACGUCAAAUCAUCAUGCCCCUUAUGUCCAGGGCUUCACACAUGCUACAAUGGUCGGUACAACGCGCAGCUACCUCGUGAGGGGACGCGAAUC
rnacentral:rRNA from 1 species